AUUGAACGCUGGCGGCAUGCCUUACACAUGCAAGUCGAGCGAAUGAAGUUCCUUCGGGAACGGAUUUAGCGGCGGACGGGUGAGUAACACGUGGGCAACCUGCCUCAUAGAGGGGAAUAGCCUUCCGAAAGGGAGAUUAAUACCGCAUAAGAUUGUAGUACCGCAUGGUACAGCAAUUAAAGGAGUAAUCCGCUAUGAGAUGGCCCGCGGCGCAUUAGCUAGUUGGUGAGGUAACGGCUCACCAAGGCGACGAUGCGUAGCCGACCUGAGAGGGUGAUCGGCCACAUUGGGACUGAGACACGGCCCAGACUCCUACGGGAGGCAGCAGUGGGGAAUAUUGCACAAUGGGGGAAACCCUGAUGCAGCAACGCCGCGUGAGUGAUGACGGCCUUCGGGUUGUAGAGCUCUGUCUUCAGGGACGAUAAUGACGGUACCUGAGGAGGAAGCCACGGCUAACUACGUGCCAGCCGCCGCGGUAA
rnacentral:rRNA from 1 species